GACGAACGCUGGCGGCGUGCCUAAUACAUGCAAGUAGAACGCUGAAGGAGGAGCUUGCUUCUCUGGAUGAGUUGCGAACGGGUGAGUAACGCGUAGGUAACCUGCCUGGUAGCGGGGGAUAACUAUUGGAAACGAUAGCUAAUACCGCAUAAUAGUAGAUGUUGCAUGACAUUUGCUUAAAAGGUGCAAUUGCAUCACUACCAGAUGGACCUGCGUUGUAUUAGCUAGUUGGUGGGGUAACGGCUCACCAAGGCGACGAUACAUAGCCGACCUGAGAGGGUGAUCGGCCACACUGGGACUGAGACACGGCCCAGACGCCUACGGGAGGCAGCAGUAGGGGAUCUUCGGCAAUGGACGGAAGUCUGACCGAGCAACGCCGCGUGAGUGAAGAAGGGUUUCGGAUCGUAAAGCUCUGUUGUAAGAGAAGAACGAGUGUGAGAGUGGAAAGUUCACACUGUGACGGUAGCUUACCAGAAAGGGACGGCUAACUACGUG
rnacentral:rRNA from 1 species